ACAAAACGUUUCGCAUUGAUUUAGUCUAUGUAUUUAAAAGAGGAUUUUCCGUAUGCAGCAAGCAUGGAAAUUUACUUUUUGGACCAGCUGUGGCAUCAGUGCGCAAGAAAGAGACGGGUAUAGUAUACCACUGUCGAUCUAUGAAAUUGACCACAUUCACAUCUGCGUCGACAGGUGGCGCCAUGUCGAUGUAAAGAAGAUGUAAAGUGUAGAAAUCAUGUAGAUACUCUGCGCUGCGCUGCUACACUAGCUCGUAGCAAAAUUGUAUUGCCUCUUGGGAGAUAAAUGGAUAUUAUACAUAGAACUGAGAGAAUGUUUGUCAUUUCAGACUCCAAUAUAUGCAGAAAUUAGUCAGUCUCUGUUUAAAAGCUAGUUCAACGAUAUAUACAAGCUUAUUGUCUUCUUACAGAGACCAAGAAUAGGUAUCGGUAUCUGGAUAUACAUACAUAUAUACAAGAUACUAUUCAUAUUCAUGAAUACGUCUAAAACAUAUCAACAUGCGAAAAGGUCUUUACUAACUACGUUUAAAAGCAGCUUGGAAAAGAGUAUCUACAUAUGUACAUAUUAAACUAACAAAAUAGGGUAUACAAAUGCCCUUACUCCGGUUGACAAGCUACAAGCAAGAAAUGACAUUCCAUUCUCACUUACGUUGCCACUUUUUUUUGUUGACCCUUUUUGUUCAGACCUUGUUUUAGACACAAUAAAAUAAAAAAUAUCUAG